AACGAACGCUGGCGGCAUGCCUAACACAUGCAAGUCGAACGAGACCUUCGGGUCUAGUGGCGCACGGGUGCGUAACGCGUGGGAACCUGCCCUUAGGUUCGGAAUAACUCCCCGAAAGGGGUGCUAAUACCGGAUAAUGUCUUCGGACCAAAGAUUUAUCGCCUUUGGAUGGGCCCGCGUUGGAUUAGCUAGUUGGUAGGGUAAAAGCCUACCAAGGCGACGAUCCAUAGCUGGUCUGAGAGGAUGAUCAGCCACACUGGGACUGAGACACGGCCCAGACUUCUUCGGGGAGGAGGCAGGGGGGAUAAUGGGACAUGGGCCGAAAGCCGGUCCAACCAAUGCCGGGGGGGUGAGAAAGGCCUUGGGUUGGAAAACCUCUUUUACCGGGGAGAUUAUGACAGUACCGGGAGAAUAAGCUCCGGCUAACUCCGUG
rnacentral:rRNA from 1 species